UGUGUCACCUUCAAGAAAAUAAUGACCACAUUCACAAUCAAAUACUAUUGGAUUAAAUACAAUAUUAUCACUCUUAUUAGGCGACUAAAGGCAGAUUUUGGCACUAAGUCAAAAUACCCAUGCUGACACUUGAUCUCUGUGCAUAACAGUUGGGGUUCCUGCUAUAUUUGUCACGAACUGUAUUUGCUUUGCUUGGUUAGCCUGUCAAAAACACUGUCAAUGGUCGCCCUGAAUCGACGUUGCUGGGGGAGUUAUUGAAUAAUUUCUCACCAAGUAUCUCCACCACAGUAUCUCCACCACAGUACCUCCACCACAGUACCUCCACCACAGUAUCUCCACCACAGUACCUCCACCACAGUAUCUCCACCACAGUAUCUCCACCACAGUACCUCCACCACAGUAUCUCACCACAGUAUCUCCAUCACAGUAUCUCCAUCACAGUAUCUCCACCACAGUAUCUCCAUCACAGUAUCUCCACCACAGUAUCUCCACCACAGUAUCUCCACCACAGUCCCUCCACCACAGUACCUCCACCCUCCUCCUCCCAUCAUGGACCUGUAUGAGGUCUUCACAGGAAGCAGGCUGGAUGUCAUCACUGAGGAGGUGCUGAGUGGAGACGAGGAGCGUGGGGAGGAGCACCAGGAGGAGGUGAAGGAGGAGGAGGUGAACAGGGAUCUCCCUACCAAAGAGGCCUUCGUAGUGGUGUCAGAGAGAACAGAGACUAGAGAGUUGUCCUCUACCAUCCAGCGUUUCUCCACAGAUACCAACGACUCUCUGAGGUUUGAGGCGUAUGUCCCGUCUUCAGAUGAGGAUGGAACUCCAUCACCUGACAGCUCUGUGGACGGACACGAUGACGUGUUUGAGGAGCACAAGGAGUCGGAGGACAAGGUGAAUAACAUCAGGACUAAGCUGGAGGAGAAGGUGGUGGAGAUGGAGAACUUUGCAGGACAUCUAGAAGAGAUCUUCCUCACUGUGGAGGAGAAUUUUGGUCGUCAGGAGCAACACCUGGAGCAGCACUGCAACGAUGUUCUACAGACGUUGUCCCAUCGUUACGACGAGCGAGCCGCUGCUCUGGGGGAGGAGAAGAAGAAGAAGUUGGAGGCCUUGUACACUCAGCUGCUGGGCUGCGGACGCACCCUGGACGCAUCCAAGGACCUGAUUGAGACCGCCCAGGAACUGUACCGCACCGAGGACAAACGACUCUUUCUACAGGCUGUUAUGCCCACCAUGAAGAGAAUUGAGGAAUUUGCGAAGGAGAAGCCUGACCUGACGCUGGUGACCCCUCUGGAGUUUGACAUGCCCCUCGCUGACCUGUCAGACGUCAAGACCAUGAUGGACUCCAUCAACAUCGUACCAGCCCCAUCUGCCCCGGUCAUCAACCCCCAGGUGUCUAACUCGGCCACGCGGACGUCUCUGCGUGUGUGCUGGAGCCUGUUCUCAGACGACUCUGUGGAAUACUACGAGCUCUACUACAGACCUGUCCUGGAGGACACGCCGGCUGUAGACAGCACCAAGGGGCCUGACGUGUCUAAUGUGAAGGUAAAGGAAACCCACUGUAGUGUAGGAGAGCUGCUGCCUAACGUGCAGUAUGAGUUCUGGGUCACAGCUACCAAUACGACAGGCAUCAGCCCUGCCAGUGAGAAGGCUGUCUACGUGACAGUCCCAUCUCCACCAGUCAUCAGACAGAGGGAGUGUAGCAGUUGUCCGGAAGCCGCUCUGAUUCGCUGGGAGUCAGGAAACACCAACCCAGUCGACUCCUACACCGUAGAGCUGAUUGAGACAGGCACUGAUGGACAGAGUGGGGUCACUGAGUCCAUCGUGGCUGUUCCUACCUGUGAGAGUCUGAUCCAGCUGGAGUCAGGAAGACAGUACCUCAUCUACGUCAGAGCUGUCAACAUCGGAGGACCCAGUGACAGGAGCCAGGCUUUUACUGUCUCUACUACAGGAACCGUCUUCCACCUGCUGCAGGACACAGCCCACCCCUGUCUGUCCAUCUCUGAGGACGGCUUCUCCAUGUUCUACGGAGACGAGGAGCUCCCGCUCUCCGCCAUGACCUUCGACGACAACACCUUCGCCAGGUGUGUAGCUGUGUUAGGGGACCUGAUCCCUGUGAGAGGCAGACAUUACUGGGAGGUGGAACUGGACGAGGACACAGAGUACAGGAUUGGAGUGGCCUAUGAAGAUACUCAGAGAAACUCCUACCUGGGAGGAGCCAACACGUCCUGGUGCAUGAGACAUGUCCUCACCCCAUCCAGACACAAGUACGAGUUCCUCCACAGCGGCUGGAGCCCAGACAUCCGGAUAACGGUGAACCCUGUGAGGAUAGGGCUCAGUCUGAACUAUGAGAGAGGGAUCCUGUCCUUCUUCAACGUGGAGCUGGAACAACACCUCUACACCUUCUACUGUAGCUUCCAACGCUACGUUCAUCCCUGCUUCGCUCUGGACAACCCCGGUGCGCUCACUGUUCACACUGGGGUAGAGGCACCGGGGUACGUCCACUUGGUCUGAGUUUACCGACCAUGAUGUACAGGUGUCCAUGGAAACGUCUUUACCUACCAUGAUGUACAGGUGUGUCCAUGGAAACGUCUUUACCUACCAUGAUGUACAGGUGUGUCCAUGGAAACGUCUUUACCUACCAUGAUGUACAUUAAAAACACAGAGGACAGGUGUGUCCAUGGAAACAUCUUUACCUACCAUGAUGUACAGGUGUGUCCAUGGAAACAUCUUUACCUACCAUGAUGUACAGGUGUGUCCAUGGAAACAUCUUUACCUACCAUGAUGUACAGGUGUGUCCAUGGAAACGUCUUUACCUACCAUGAUGUACAGGUGUGUCCAUGGAAACAUCUUUACCUACCAUGAUGUACAGGUGUGUCCAUGGAAACAUCUUUACCUACCAUGAUGUACAGGUGUGUCCAUGGAAACGUCUUUAUCUGAUUGUUAUUCUAACCCUCUGGACAACACUGCAUGGUAGAGCACAAUUAUACUACAAAAACAUGUUUAUGACCCCUUUGUGUAAGUGGGUUAACAACCAUAUCUGAAUAAAAACCAUGUAUAUCAGUGGUUUAGACCAGGGUUUGAUUGACUACCACAACAUGAAACAAGAUGAA